GAGUUGACCUCCUUAUUGCAAUAAGGCUAGCAAAAAGUUAGGAAUAGCCUACAGCACCCCGGAUUCCCAUGUUGUCUCCAACCAUAGUACUAACGAGGCCCUCAGACGCUUAACUGCAGUGAUCAGACGGGAACUGGUGUUUUCGCCUAGGUAUGGCCGUAGACAGCACUAUAAGUAAUUAGUAAAAUAUAUAUAUGAUAUCCU